rnacentral:rRNA from 1 species
UACGAAGGGGGCUAGCGUUGUUCGGAAUUACUGGGCGUAAAGGGUGCGUAGGUGGUGAGGUAAGUCGGAUGUGAAAGCUCCAAGCUCAACUUGGAAAUGGCAUUGGAAACUACCUUGCUAGAGGGUUUGAGGGGGGACUGGAAUACUUGGUGUAGCAGUGAAAUGCGUAGAUAUCAAGUGGAACACCAGUGGCGAAGGCGAGUCCCUGGAAAACUCCUGACACUGAGGCACGAAAGCUAGGGGAGCAAACAGG